GUUUUUGUAGUUGAAUAACAACGGUGAUUUUUCAGAUCAUUAUUCUUGGUUUAAGUCCUAGCAGAAAUU
rnacentral:tRNA from 1 species